GCUCGCUCUCACCUUCUUGGACAAAAAAAACGAAGUCAAGCAACAUAGGGCGUGGUCAGUACUUGGAUGGGUAGCCGCCUGGGAACACCAUGUGACGUUGGCU
rnacentral:rRNA from 1 species